GUAACGAGCGCAACCCUUGUCUAGUUACCAGCACGUUAUGUGGGCACUCUAAGGAGACUGCCGGUGACAAACCGGAGGAAGGUGGGGAUGACGUCAAGUCAUCAUGGCCCUUACGGCCUGGGCUACACACGUGCUACAAUGGUCGGUACAAAGGGUUGCCAAGCCGCGAGGUGGAGCUAAUCCCAUAAAACCGAUCGUAGUCCGGAUCGCAGUCUGCAACUCGACUGCGUGAAGUCGGAAUCGCUAGUAAUCGUGAAUCAGAAUGUCACGGUGAAUACGUUCCCGGGCCUU
rnacentral:rRNA from 1 species